AGCCGGAGGCCGCGUGGCUCGCGGAGCCAACCCGCUGCUGCGAGUUCCCGCGACCCUUCUGAGAAGGCCUCUUCCUCCUCAUCUAACCGGGAGAAAAACACCUCCCUCGGGGGCUUUGGCUGUUUGAAGUGAAGUCACAGGAUCUGUGCUGUUUGUGACACUCUUGUUUUCACUUGGCUCCCCCCUUGGACGACGGUUCCCUGUGGAGAUACAGAGAUGACCUCCUCUGUCUCGGUGAUGAACGCGCCCCACGGCCCUUAGAGCCCCUUUUCACCAUUGCGGGUAUAAAUAAAGCUGCACUGGCUGUGA